GCCUGAAUAGCUCAGUUGGUUAAAGUGUGGUGCUGGUAACGCCGAGGUUGCAGGUUCGAUUCCCGUAUGGGACA